AUACGUAGGGGGCGAGCGUUGUCCGGAAUGACUGGGCGUAAAGGGCGCGUAGGCGGCUGAAUAAGUUAGGAGUGAAAUUCCAGUUUUCAAGGCUGGAACUGCUUUUAAUACUGUUGAGCUUGAGUGCAGAAGAGGUAAGCGGAAUUCCCAGUGUAGCGGUGAAAUGCGUAGAGAUUGGGAAGAACACCAGUGGCGAAGGCGGCUUACUGGGCUGUAACUGACGCUGAGGCGCGAAAGCGUGGGGAGCGAACAGGAUUAGAUACCCUGGUAGUCCACGCUGUAAACGAUGAAUGCUAGGUGUAGGGGGUAUCGACCCCUCCUGUGCCGGAGUGAACGCAAUAAGCAUUCCGCCUGGGGAGUACGGCCGCAAGGUUGAAACUCAAAGGAAUUGACGGGG
rnacentral:rRNA from 1 species